rnacentral:rRNA from 1 species
AUUGAACGCUGGCGACAUGCCUUACACAUGCAAGUCGAACGGCAGCACGGGUGCUUGCACCUGGUGGCGAGUGGCGAACGGGUGAGUAAUACAUCGGAACAUGUCCUGUAGUGGGGGAUAGCCCGGCGAAAGCCGGAUUAAUACCGCAUACGAUCUACGGAUGAAAGCGGGGGACCUUCGGGCCUCGCGCUAUAGGGUUGGCCGAUGGCUGAUUAGCUAGUUGGUGGGGUAAAGGCCUACCAAGGCGACGAUCAGUAGCUGGCCUGAGAGGACGACCAGCCACACUGGGACUGAGACACGGCCCAGACUCCUACGGGAGGCAGCAGUGGGGAAUUUUGGACAAUGGGCGAAAGCCUGAUCCAGCAAUGCCGCGUGUGUGAAGAAGGCCUUCGGGUUGUAAAGCACUUUUGUCCGGAAAGAAAUCCUUGGCCCUAAUACGGUCGGGGGAUGACGGUACCGGAAGAAUAAGCACCGGCUAACUACGUG